rnacentral:rRNA from 1 species
CCUACGGGGGGCUGCAGUGGGGAAUAUUGGACAAUGGGGGGAACCCUGAUCCAGCCAUGCCGCGUGUGUGAAGAAGGCCCUCGGGUUGUAAAGCACUUUCAGUGAGGAAGAACGCCUGGUGGUUAAUACCCAUCAGGAAAGACAUCACUCACAGAAGAAGCACCGGCUAACUCCGUGCCAGCAGCCGCGGUAAUACGGAGGGGUGCGAGCGUUAAUCGGAAUUACUGGGCGUAAAGCGCGCGUAGGUGGCUUGAUAAGCCGGUUGUGAAAGCCCCGGGCUCAACCUGGGAACGGCAUCCGGAACUGUCAAGCUAGAGUGCAGGAGAGGAAGGUAGAAUUCCCGGUGUAGCGGUGAAAUGCGUAGAGAUCGGGAGGAAUACCAGUGGCGAAGGCGGCCUUCUGGACUGACACUGACACUGAGGUGCGAAAGCGUGGGUAGCAAACAGGAUUAGAUACCCGAGUAGUC